rnacentral:rRNA from 1 species
UUGAUCAUGGCUCAGGACGAACGCUGGCGGCGUGCUUAACACAUGCAAGUCGAGCGGUAAGGCCUUUCGGGGUACACGAGCGGCGAACGGGUGAGUAACACGUGGGUGAUCUGCCCUGCACUUCGGGAUAAGCCUGGGAAACUGGGUCUAAUACCGGAUAUGACCUCCUGUCGCAUGAUGGGUGGUGGAAAGAUUUAUCGGUGCAGGAUGGGCCCGCGGCCUAUCAGCUUGUUGGUGGGGUAAUGGCCUACCAAGGCGACGACGGGUAGCCGACCUGAGAGGGUGACCGGCCACACUGGGACUGAGACACGGCCCAGACUCCUACGGGAGGCAGCAGUGGGGAAUAUUGCACAAUGGGCGAAAGCCUGAUGCAGCGACGCCGCGUGAGGGAUGACGGCCUUCGGGUUGUAAACUC